rnacentral:rRNA from 1 species
CCGUAAACUAAUAUAAGAGUGUUUAGAUUACUAACUAAUAUAAAAGUGUUUAGAUUAUUAUUUUAGUAAUCUAAACGCUUUUUUAGUGAUCUAAACGCUCUUAUAUUAGUUUACAGAGGGAGUACUUGGCAAUUCAAUCAACCCAAAUCCACCCUCUGCCCGACCCUCUCGUCCAAAACCCAGCGUCCACGGCGAUUUCUCCUCUCCUCUCUCCUCUGCUCUCGCCGAUGCACCGCAUGGCUCACUUCCCGCUGUUGCCGGCUCUAGCGCUGGCGGUCACCUGCGCGUUGGUUCCGUUCACCGUCGCUGACCCGCAGGCUACGCAGCUCAACCUUGGGUGCAGCCAGUACAACGCCACGCCCACGGCCGCCUUCCUCGCGGCCCUAAACUCCACCUUUGCUGAGCUCCGCGCCAACCUCUCCGCCGGCAGCGGCUUCGCCACCGCCGCGGAGCCUCGCGCCGCCGCGCCGGCGUUCGCGUUGGCGCAGUGCCGCCCAUACGUCACCGGGAGGGACUGCGUCGCCUGCUUCGACGCCGCCGCGGCGCGCAUCCACGCCGCCUGCGGGGCUGCUAACGGCGGGCGCGCCAUCCUCGACGGCUGCGUCAUACGGUACGAGAGCGUGGCGUUCUUCGACCAGUCCACCCUCCCUGGCAACACGCAGCGCUGCAACGGCUCCGCCGUGCCCGGCACCGCUUUCGACGGCGCGGUGCAGGCGCUGAUCAACGACCUCGCGGCAGCCGUGCCUCGCUUCCCGCGGCUAGCUGCGGCGGCCGCGGGCACCGGCGUGUACGCGAUGGCGCAGUGUGUGGAGACGGUCGGGCAGGACGGCUGCGCGCAGUGCCUCCAGGUAGCUGCGAGCAACAUUGACCGGUGCCCGCCCAAUUCCGACGGCCGGGCAGUGGACGCCGGGUGCUUCAUGAGGUACUCUGAUAAGCCCUUCUUCCCGGCUAAUGCGACGGCAGACCUGACGCCCUACUUGCGCUCUGGAAAAUCAAGAGGGAAGGGGGCCAUUGUAGGAGCAAUUUUGGGAGGUCUGGCCUUCCUGUUGCUUCUAGGGUUAUUAGCUUUGUUUUGGACCUGGCGGUCUAUGAAGCUAAAGAAGCCUCGAAGAGGUGAUAUACUUGGAGCAACGGAACUGCAAGGUCCAACAAAUUUUAACUAUCACGAUCUUAAGGCUGCAACCAAUAAUUUUAGUGAGAAAAGUAAAAUUGGAGAAGGAGGUUUUGGAGAUGUCUUUAAGGGCUUACUGAAAAAUGGGAAAAUUGUUGCAGUAAAAAGGUUGUCAGUAAUGCAAACUAGCAGGGCCAAAGAAGAUUUUGAAAGCGAGGUAAAGCUUAUUAGCAAUGUUCAGCAUCGAAAUCUUGUCCGGCUUCUUGGUUGUUCUCGCAAGGGUUCUGAAUGCCUCCUUGUUUAUGAAUAUAUGGUGAAUAGUAGCCUUGACAAGUUUCUCUACGGUAAGAGACGUGGAACACUUAACUGGAAGCAGCGAUUCAAUAUCAUCGUUGGCAUGGCUCGUGGCCUUGCAUAUCUUCAUCAAGAGUUUCAUGUGUGUAUCAUACACCGUGAUAUUAAAUCUAGCAAUGUUCUUCUUGAUGAUGACUUCCAACCUAAGAUUGCUGAUUUUGGUUUGGCAAGGCUCCUACCUGAUGAUCAUAGUCAUCUCAGCACUAGAUUUGCAGGAACAUUGGGUUACACUGCUCCUGAGUAUGCAAUCCACGGCCAGCUAUCGGAGAAGGUUGACACAUACAGCUUUGGUAUAGUCAUUUUGGAAAUAAUAAGUGGUCGGAAAAUCAAUGAUACAAGGAUUGAGGCUGAAACACAAUACCUACUUGAAUCGGCAUGGAAGCUAUAUGAAAAUGAGGACGUGAUUAAGUUGGUGGAUGGAUCGUUAGAUCACGAAGAAUAUAUGCCAGAAGAGGUAAUAAGAAUAAUAGAGAUAGCGCUUCUCUGCACUCAAUCAGUUGUUGCUUCAAGGCCAACUAUGUCAGAGGUAGUUGUGUUGUUGUUAUCAAGAAAUUCUCCAGAGAUACUACCCACAAGGCCCACUUUUAUUGAUUCAAUAAGUAGAGUGCGAGGAGAAACAUCCACGUCCAAUUCAUCCACUGCAUCCAAGGCCACCGCCUCUAUUUCACACUUAUCAGCCAGGUAAAAGGCGCUGUAUUGUAUAUGAACGCAUCUUUCCCUGUAUGAUAGUGAAAGAUUUGUAUAUACAAUUAUGUAUCUGUAUUUUAUAUAUACAUGAGUGGAUGCUUAUUUGUUAGGAUAUAAGAAAGCGGUGUGAAGUAUUUGAAAUUCCCCUCUUACUCAUGCAACGACUCAAAUAGUCUGAGCAUGUUACAAGGAUGUGCUUUUGCAUGACAUUGCUUAUCCGAGUCCAUUCUUUGUGUCCC